AUGCGGCCUGCAGCAAGGCGUAUUCCCAGGAAAUUGCUGUUUUUCCUACCGAUGACAAGCCCUUCGCUUCCUGAAGAAUUCUGGGGCCUCUUCCUGCAUCCACAGCCUUCUCUCUCUCCUCCAACUGAGGAUCUGGUUCUUUUUUUGCAUGUCUGGCCUCCAAAGGAGGUUGAUCGGCUGCAGUUACUAAAACAUGAAGGAUUCAGAUCUGAAAACGAGUCAUGGGCCCGUGGGCGGCGUGUGGACCCCUCGCCCGCUCUGGAGCUCUUCUUUCAUUCCCCCAACAACGCGCCAGCCGCGCCCCCCGAUCUCCCCAUCAGUGUGCCUCGUGCUCCCUGGGUGCCCUGGAAAGGCAUCGGGCUGGGGCGAGGGGCGCCUCAGAACAAAAGGAAGGGGCCCACACGAGGCGCGAUCAGAGGCCGGAACCAGUCCCAGGCCCUGCUUGCCUCUCUCGAUGGGACUCUCCCCCCCCCCCCCCCGCCUUUGUGGCUGCUCUCAGAGCUCCCCCCGGCAGGCUGCCGAGACCAGAGCUUCAGGAGACAGCAGAGCCCGGGCCUCCAGAGCUCCUGGGCCGGGGGGCGCCGAGGCUUGCAAAGAGCUUCACGCCACCAGCCUCACAAGUGCCCCAGGCAACGUCCCCACUGCAGGGGAGGGGAAGAGCAGCAAACACGACAGUCAGGGGAGUGCUGGAGUCAAGAGUCCAACUCACGCACUUCUUGCGGCACCUCCCGUGUUCUCUCUUUUGAAGCCCUUACCAGGACUGCGUGCUGGCCCCAGGGCAGAAGAGCGGCCAGGGCUGGGCCAAGGCGUCCAGUGACUCGCCCAGGGUCGCCCAGCUGGGGAGUGGCUGGGGCCACACUGGAACCCAGGCCCUCCCAGGACUGCGUGCUGGCCCCAAGGCAGAGGCGUGCUAAGGGCUGGGCCAAGGCAUCCAGGGACUCGCCCAGGGUCGCCCAGCUGGGGAGUGGCUGGGGCCACACUGGAGCCCAGGCCCUCCGGCUCUGGGCCCGGCUCUCCCUCCGCCUCUUUCUACAUCCAACAGCCCCCGCGUGA
rnacentral:lncRNA from 1 species